CCUACGGGAGGCAGCAGUGGGGAAUAUUGGGCAAUGGGCGCAAGCCUGACCCAGCGACGCCGCGUGAGUGAAGAAGUAUUUCGGUAUGUAAAGCUCUAUCAGCAGGGAAGAAAGAAAUGACGGUACCUGACUAAGAAGCCCCGGCUAACUACGUGCCAGCAGCCGCGGUAAUACGUAGGGUGCGAGCGUUAAUCGGAAUUACUGGGCGUAAAGCGCUCGUAGGCGGUAUGUCAAGUCAAGGGUGAAAUCCCCGCGCUCAACGUGGGAACUGCCUUUGAAACUGGCAAACUGGAGUGUGUGAGAGGAUAGUGGAAGUCCAGGGGUAGGAGGGACAUCCGGAGAUAUCUGGAGGAAGAGCAGGGGCGAAGGCGACUAUCUGGCACAUAACUGACGCUGAGGAGCGAAAGCGUGGGUAGCAAACAGGAUUAGAUACCCCAGUAGUC
rnacentral:rRNA from 1 species